rnacentral:lncRNA from 1 species
UCCCCCACCCUUGUUCUUAAUAUGUCGGCAAUUUCAUGGUCCAAAAAUCCCUAAGAGCCCAUCAAUUCCAUAAAGAAACCCUCACUUCAAUUUCCUUUGAAUUAUAAAUAGAGAUUUUCUGCCUUUAAUUUGCCGAUUUCUUGGGGAUAAGCUUGAUUUCAAACUGCUCUAUUUUAGCUGUCCAUAUUCAUUGGUUUUCUAGUAGUUUCUGGCACUAUCCAUCACCAUCGAAUAUCAGAUGGAGGAGCCAUAGCUACGCC